UAUUGCUUACUUGUCAUGCAGUGUUAAUGCUCUCUGCAUACUGGAGGCAGGAAAUACGCACAAAACAUUUUCAUCGUCGUCAUCAUCAGCCUUACUACGCCCACUGCGAGGCAAACGCCUUUGCCAUGUUCCGCCAAUCACCUGGUCCUGUGCUUGCUGCGGCCAUCUUACCCCCGCAACUUCGGGAUCCGAGGAGUUAAGCUUCUCCACUCUUCUGCGCCUUUGAGCAGCAUUUGCGAUCUCCUUCUCCAUGGGUAUACCACAGUGGCAAACGCCAGUCAGAGGCGCUAUAUGGAACCCAAGCUCAAGUUUGAGGAGCGACGACAACGCCCGCGCUGAGGCUCUGACGGAAAGCUCUGGAGCUACCGAGUGCAUGCGCGGCCGACUCAGCCCCUUUCACGGUAGCGGUAGCGCACGUGCGCACGCGUUCUGUCGGUGUGGGUAACUGGGGGGCAGUCAGCUCGGCACGUUGAACCAAGAGGCUUGCUGUGCGAAGCUGCGCACUUCCACGAUGGCAGAAGCGACCUCACGGAAGUGGACGCGAGGUCGGAAGUAUUGCUGUGUAGUGGGCUGCCACAACAGUUCAUACAACACCAAGGCACGCGAUCCGCCUGUAAAACUGUAUCGGUUCCCGGACGUGUUGCACGAGAAAUAAAGGCGGCAAGCGUGGAUAGCUGACAGCGCUAUCUCGCUUUCUAUU